UACGAAGGGGCUAGCGUUGCUCGGAAUCACUGGGCGUAAGCGCACGUAGGCGGCUUCUUAAGUCAGGGGUGAAAUCCUGGAGCUCAACUCCAGAACUGCCUUUGAUACUGAGAGCUUGAGUCCGGAGAGGUGAGUGGAACUGCGAGUGUAGAGGUGAAAUUCGUAGAUAUUCGCAAGAACACCAGUGGCGAAGGCGGCUCACUGGCCCGGUACUGACGCUGAGGUGCGAAAGCGUGGGAGCAACAGG
rnacentral:rRNA from 1 species